rnacentral:rRNA from 1 species
UGAAUGGUUUGACGAGAGCUGUGCUGUCUCUUCUGAAAUAUUUAGAAAUUAACUUUUAGGUGAAGAGGCCUAAAUUUAUUUAAGGGACAAGAAGACCCUGUUGAGCUUUAGUGAUGUUGUAAAUGAAAUAAGCAAGUGUUGCUGGUUUGUUAUAUAUUUAUUAUAAUAAAAAUUUACAAAUAAUCUUUAGUUGGGGCGACUGAGGAACAUAAAAAGCUUCCUUAUAAUAUAGUUAUUUAGGUUAUUAAGUGAGUAUUAAUGCUUAUGUGUUAUUUUGAUCCAAAUUAUUUUGAUUAAAGGAAAAAGUUACCACAGGGAUAACAGCGUAAUCUUUCUGGAGAGAUCUUAUCGAAAGAAGGGUUUGCGACCUCGAUGUUGGACUAAGAUACCCUAAGGGUGCAGAAGCUCUUAAAGGUUGGUCUGUUCGACCAUUAAAAUCUU